GCUACAGGCUUAACACAUGCAAGUCGAGGGGCAGCAUUUCAGUUUGCUUGCAAACUGGAGAUGGCGACCGGCGCACGGGUGAGUAACACGUAUCCAACCUGCCGAUAACUCGGGGAUAGCCUUUCGAAAGAAAGAUUAAUACCCGAUGGCAUAAUUAGACCGCAUGGUCUUAUUAUUAAAGAAUUUCGGUUAUCGAUGGGGAUGCGUUCCAUUAGGCAGUUGGUGAGGUAACGGCUCACCAAACCUUCGAUGGAUAGGGGUUCUGAGAGGAAGGUCCCCCACAUUGGAACUGAGACACGGUCCAAACUCCUACGGGAGGCAGCAGUGAGGAAUAUUGGUCAAUGGGCGCAGGCCUGAACCAGCCAAGUAGCGUGAAGGAUGACUGCCCUAUGGGUUGUAAACUUCUUUUAUAUGGGAAUAAAGUUCUCCACGUGUGGAAUUUUGUAUGUACCAUAUGAAUAAGGAUCGGCUAACUCCGUGCCAGCAGCCGCGGUAAUACGGAGGAUCCGAGCGUUAUCCGGAUUUAUUGGGUUUAAAGGGAGCGUAGGUGGACAGUUAAGUCAGUUGUGAAAGUUUGCGGCUCAACCGUAAAAUUGCAGUUGAUACUGGCUGUCUUGAGUACAGUAGAGGUGGACGGAAUUCGUGGUGUAGCGGUGAAAUGCUUAGAUAUCACGAAGAACUCCGAUUGCGAAGGCAGCUCACUGGACUGCAACUGACACUGAUGCUCGAAAGUGUGGGUAUCAAACAGGAUUAGAUACCCUGGUAGUCCACACAGUAAACGAUGAAUACUCGCUGUUUGCGAUAUACAGUAAGCGGCCAAGCGAAAGCAUUAAGUAUUCCACCUGGGGAGUACGCCGGCAACGGUGAAACUCAAAGGAAUUGACGGGGGCCCGCACAAGCGGAGGAACAUGUGGUUUAAUUCGAUGAUACGCGAGGAACCUUACCCGGGCUUAGAUUGCAUUUGAAUAUAUUGGAAACAGUAUAGCCGUAAGGCAAAUGUGAAGGUGCUGCAUGGUUGUCGUCAGCUCGUGCCGUGAGGUGUCGGCUUAAGUGCCAUAACGAGCGCAACCCUUAUCUUUAGUUACUAACAGGUCAUGAUGAGGACUCUAGAGAGACUGCCGUCGUAAGAUGUGAGGAAGGUGGGGAUGACGUCAAAUCAGCACGGCCCUUACGUCCGGGGCUACACACGUGUUACAAUGGGGGGUACAGAAGGCAGCUACCUGGUGACAGGAUGCUAAUCCCAAAAGCCUCUCUCAGUUCGGAUCGAAGUCUGCAACCCGACUUCGUGAAGCUGGAUUCGCUAGUAAUCGCGCAUCAGCCAUGGCGCGGUGAAUACGUUCCCGGGCCUUGUACACACCGCCCGUCAAGCCAUGAAAGCCGGGGGUACCUGAAGUACGUAACCGCAAGGAGCGUCCUAGGGUAAAACUGGUAAUUGGGGCUAAGU
rnacentral:rRNA from 1 species